rnacentral:rRNA from 1 species
GACGAACGCUGGCGGCGUGCUUAACACAUGCCAGUCGAACGGAAAGGCCCUGCUUUUGUGGGGUGCUCGAUUGGCGAACGGGUGAGUAACACGUGAGUAUCCUGCCCUUGACUUUGGGAUAACUUCAGGAAACUGGGGCUAAUACCGGAUAGGAGCUCCUGCUGCAUGGUGUGGGUUGGAAAGUUUCGGCGGUUGGGGAUGGACUCGCGGCUUAUCAGCUUGUUGGUGGGGUAGUGGCUUACCAAGGCUUUGACGGGUAGCCUGCAUGGGAGGGUGACCGGCCACAUUGGGACUGAGAUACGGCCCAGACUCCUACGGGAGGCAGCAGUGGGGAAUAUUGCACAAUGGGCGGAAGCCUGAUGCAGAAACGCCGCGUGCGGGAUGACGGCCUUCGGGUUGUAAACCGCUUUCGCCUGUGACGAAGCGUGAGUGACGGUAAUGUGUAAAGAAGCAACGGCUAACUACGUG